AGAAUGAGCCAACAACAACUCUAUCGGUACUGGGAAUACAGUCUGAACUGGACUUAACUGAUGUGGUGGAGGAGUUUUUCGAGGAGAAAGGCAGAAAGAGGACCGGUGAAGAGGGUCCUCCUGUUUUAAAUGGACGGCAUUAAGGGGAACCGGCACUGAGGUCCGUCCUUGGAGGCACGGUCCAAAUUCCAGAGAAUCUUGGCAACUCCUCGGGAUAGAUGGGACCCUCAUGGAUAUAAAACCCCACAAUGGAUGAAUAGGUGCACCCGGGCUGGAAACCACAUACUCUGCAAACACCUGAGAUUGAUCCUCUGCGUCAAAGAGGUCAUGAGAACCGGGAAGGCUGGCAACGACGGCGGGCCUCAGCGAGUAUUUUCAGGGUGAUGUUUAAAGGGAUCAGGUUACGUCUGAUGUCGUCCUGCAGUGCUGAUAGCUGCAAGCAACAGGCAACAAAGUAAUUCCUAAUGGUCUAAAAUCCCAAACCUUAAUAUAAAAGUGAGAUUUCCGUGUCUUUUUUGACAACAAAGCAGCUCUAGGUGCUACAUAAAUACUGUGAAAGCAUCAAAAUGCUAAAUCCACAGAGAAACUGUGCCUUUAAACAAGCCCUUAGAACUUCUGUAAGAUUGGGGUGUAAGUAUUUAUAGGAAGAAAGAAUUGCAAUAUUCUGUUAGGGA